rnacentral:rRNA from 1 species
AGCAGUAGGGAAUCUUCCACAAUGGGCGCAAGCCUGAUGGAGCAACACCGCGUGAGUGAAGAAGGGUUUCGGCUCGUAAAGACUCUGUUGUUUAAAGAAGAACACGUAUGAGAGUAACUGUUCAUACGUUGACGGUAUUUAACCAGAAAGUCACGGCUAACUACGUGCCAGCAGCCGCGGUAAUACGUAGGUGGCAAGCGUUAUCCGGAUUUAUUGGGCGUAAAGAGAGUGCAGGCGGUUUUCUAAGUCUGAUGUGAAAGCCUUCGGCUUAACCGGAGAAGUGCAUCGGAAACUGGAUAACUUGAGUGCAGAAGAGGGUAGUGGAACUCCAUGUGUAGCGGUGGAAUGCGUAGAUAUAUGGAAGAACACCAGUGGCGAAGGCGGCUACCUGGUCUGCAACUGACGCUGAGACUCGAAAGCAUGGGUAGCGAACAGGAUUAGAUACCCUGGUAG